CCGCCCGUCCCGUCCCGGAUGCGAUCUCCUUGGAGUCGGGUUGCUUGGGAGUGCAGCCCUAAUCGGGUGGUAAACUCCACCUAAGGCUAAAUACCGCCGUGAGACCGAUAGCAAACAAGUACCGUGAGGGAAAGUUGCAAAGAACUUUGAAGAGAGAGUUCAAGAGUACGUGAAAUUGCUCAGAGGUAAACGGGUGGGCCCUCGAAAUCCUGUGGCGAGAGGAUUCAGUGCGGCGCGUGGCCGGUGCCGGGGGAAGAACCGUAUGGCUUCCCGGGACUGGGACCGUCCCCUGGUGCCGCGUUCUCGCGCCGUACGCAUUUGUCUCUCGCCCGAAGGACGCUGCAGCCGGUUCGGAAGCGCAAGCGCGACGGCCUGAAGGUCGGGAGAUGGCAGGUGGCCGGUGGUUUGCCUCGUGCGGACCGCCGGUUGUUAGCCGUCCCGUCAGUGGCUCGUCUCCGGACCGUGGUGUCGCGAGCCCCUUCGGGGGCUCCUCGUCUCCACCCCUUGAUCGUGGGACAGAUCGCGGCAAGGAUCGUUCGCCGACCGGUCGCACUGCCACGCAGUGGGCCGACAGGCGCGCGGCCCCGUUCGCCGUGACGGACCCGCGGGGGACCGGAGGCUGGCAGCGAGUAGGUCGGUCACCCACCCGACCCGUCUUGAAACACGGACCAAGGAGUCUAACAUGUGCGCGAGUCAAUGGGUCUUGAAUAGGCCCAGGGGCGCAAUGAAAGCGAAGGUCUGCCGAGCGUAGACCGAGUCGGGAUCCCCCGUCCCGCGUGGCGGGGGCGCA
rnacentral:rRNA from 1 species